rnacentral:lncRNA from 1 species
GAAAUGUGACCAUGUUACUAUGGCAAUUUGAGAGAAAGUAACAUUCUAACUGAAGUUGUGGGGAUCAUAAACCAAAUCUACCUAAGAGGUUCAUGCCAUUCAUGCAGCCAAAUCACAUCUCGGGAGGAGAGCCGCAGCUGAAGCCCCCAGGGCACACUCUCAGCAACCCUUACGUAAGCUAGCAACCAAGAAGGGAGAGAUCUUUGGAUGAUGAGUUAAGUCACUGAAAUUAUCCACAGAAUGCUCAGAUGCAAACCAUGGUCCUAAGGCUCCCUGAAUGCCAUCUCCAUGUGCCUAAAGACCUUGCGAUUUUAUUCAUUGCUGUAUCUCCAGCUCCCAGAACUAUGUCUGGAACAGAGUCUCCUAAUAAGUUAAAGGACGCAUUGCACGUAAUCAAAGAAGAGGACAUACAGCAUUUUCACCUCGAGAUUGUUCACCAGACAGGGGCUGAAUCCUGAGUGAAAGUGGCAUGGAGCAGAACUGAAGCCAA